rnacentral:rRNA from 1 species
GAUGAACGCUGGCGGCGUGCCUAAUACAUGCAAGUCGAGCGAACGGACGAGAAGCUUGCUUCUCUGAUGUUAGCGGCGGACGGGUGAGUAACACGUGGAUAACCUACCUAUAAGACUGGGAUAACUUCGGGAAACCGGAGCUAAUACCGGAUAAUAUUUUGAACCGCAUGGUUCAAAAGUGAAAGACGGUCUUGCUGUCACUUAUAGAUGGAUCCGCGCUGCAUUAGCUAGUUGGUAAGGUAACGGCUUACCAAGGCAACGAUGCAUAGCCGACCUGAGAGGGUGAUCGGCCACCCUGGAACUGAGACACAGUCCAGACUCCUACGGGAGGCAGCAGUAGGGAAUCUUCCGCAAUGGGCGAAAGCCUGACGGAGCAACGCCGCGUGAGUGAUGAAGGUCUUCGGAUCGUAAAACUCUGUUAUUAGGGAAGAACAUAUGUGUAAGUAACUGUGCACAUCUUGACGGUACCUAAUCAGAAAGCCACGGCUAACUACGUG